rnacentral:rRNA from 1 species
UACGGAGGGUGCAAGCGUUAUCCGGAAUCAUUGGGUUUAAAGGGUCCGCAGGCGGUUUAAUUAGUCAGUGGUGAAAGCCUACAGCUCAACUGUAGAACUGCCAUUGAUACUGUUAGACUUGAAUUCGGUCGAAGUGGGCGGAAUGUGACAUGUAGCGGUGAAAUGCUUAGAUAUGUCACAGAACACCGAUAGCGAAGGCAGCUCACUAGGCCUGGAUUGACGCUCAGGGACGAAAGCGUGGGGAGCAAACAGG